ACCUGGUUCUCGCUGUGCCCUGUGUGAAUGUUGUCCGCUACUCAGGAUGAACGCUAGCGGCAGGCUUAUACAUGCAAGUCGAGGGGCAGCUGACGCUUCGGUGUUGAUGGCGACCGGCGCACGGGUGCGUAACGCGUAUGCAACCUACCUACUACAGGGGGAUAGCCAUUGGAAACAGUGAUUAAUACCCCAUAAAGCAGGGACCCCACCUGGGGAUAUUGCUAAAGAUUUAUCGGUAGUAGAUGGGCAUGCGUCUGAUUAGUUAGUUGGCGAGGUAACGGCUCACCAAGGCGAUGAUCAGUAGCGGGUCUGAGAGGAUGAUCCGCCACACUGGAACUGAGACACGGUCCAGACUCCUACGGGAGGCAGCAGUAGGGAAUAUUGGUCAAUGGGGGGAACCCUGAACCAGCCAUGCCGCGUGCAGGAAGACGGCCUUCUGGGUUGUAAACUGCUUUUAUCAGGGGGGGAAGGUACAAGAUGCGUCUUGUAAUUGACAGUACCGAUGAAUAAGCACCGGCUAACUCCGUGCCAGCAGCCGCGGUAAUACGGAGGGUGCAAGCGUUGUCCGGAUUUAUUGGGUUUAAAGGGUGCGUAGGCGGAGCAAUAAGUCAGUGGUGAAAGUCCAUCGCUCAACGAUGGGGAUUGCCAUUGAAACUGUUGUUCUUGAGUAAAAGUUGAGGCAGGCGGAAUUUAUGGUGUAGCGGUGAAUGCAUAGAUACCAUAAGGAACACCGAUAGCGCAGGCAGCUUGCUAACUUUAACUGACGCUGAGGCACGAAAGCGUGGGGAGCGACAGGAUUAGAUACCCUUGGAGUCCACGCUGUAAACUAUGAACAACUCAAUGUGUGCGAUAACCGUACGUGUCCAAGCAAAGCGUUAGUGAUCCACCUGGGGGAGUACGACCGCAAGUUGAACUCAAGGAAUUGACGGGGCCGCACAACCGUGAACUGUGGUUAAUUCAUGAACCCGAGGACCUACUGGGCUAGAAUGGCUUUGCAUUC
rnacentral:rRNA from 1 species